rnacentral:rRNA from 1 species
GACGAACGCUGGCGGCGUGCCUAAUACAUGCAAGUAGAACGCUGAAGAGAGGAGCUUACUCUUCUUGGAUGAGUUGCGAACGGGUGAGUAACGCGUAGGUAACCUGCCUUGUAGCGGGGGAUAACUAUUGGAAACGAUAGCUAAUACCGCAUAACAAUGGAUGACACAUGUCAUUUAUUUGAAAGGGGCAAUUGCUCCACUACAAGAUGGACCUGCGUUGUAUUAGCUAGUAGGUGAGGUAAUGGCUCACCUAGGCGACGAUACAUAGCCGACCUGAGAGGGUGAUCGGCCACACUGGGACUGAGACACGGCCCAGACUCCUACGGGAGGCAGCAGUAGGGAAUCUUCGGCAAUGGGGGCAACCCUGACCGAGCAACGCCGCGUGAGUGAAGAAGGUUUUCGGAUCGUAAAGCUCUGUUGUAAGUCAAGAACGGGUGUGAGAGUGGAAAGUUCACACUGUGACGGUAGCUUACCAGAAAGGGACGGCUAACUACGUG